rnacentral:rRNA from 1 species
AUACCCUAUUAUACUUAAAUUUAAUAUAUAAUUGUCUGAUUAUUUUUAGUUAUGUUCUUAAAAAUCAAAGAACUUGGCGGUACUUUAGUCUUGUUAGAGGAACCUGUUUUAUAAGCGAUAAACCACGUAAUAUCUUACUUAAUUUUGUUUUCAGUUUGUAUACCGUCAUUAUUAGAUAAUUUUUAUAGAAUAUAAUUAUUGAAAUAAUUUAAAUAUUUAUAAUUAAUAUAUUAGAUCAAGGUGCAGCCGAUGAUUAAGUAAAAAUGGGUUACAAUAACUUAUAGUUAGUAUGGAUAAAUUAUUGAAAGUAAUAAUUUUGAAGGUGGAUUUAAUUGUAAUUUUUAUAUAAUAAGAAAAAAUGAUAGAAGCUCUAUAUUAUGUACAUAUCGCCCGUCG